AUUCAACUGAUGAGUCCUAAACAGGACGAAACUCACAACUUGGAU
rnacentral:hammerhead_ribozyme from 1 species